rnacentral:rRNA from 1 species
CAGUCGCCGCGGUAAUACGGAGGGUCCGAGCGUUAAUCGGAAUUACUGGGCGUAAAGCGUGCGCAGGCGGUUUGUUAAGCGAGAUGUGAAAGCCCUGGGCUCAACCUAGGAAUAGCAUUUCGAACUGGCGAACUAGAGUCUUGUAGAGGGGGGUAGAAUUCCAGGUGUAGCGGUGAAAUGCGUAGAGAUCUGGAGGAAUACCGGUGGCGAAGGCGGCCCCCUGGACAAAGACUGACGCUCAUGCACGAAAGCGUGGGGAGCAAACAGGAUUAGAUACCCCUGUAGUCCCUGUCUCUUAUAC